AUCCUAUGGUGAGGACAUCUACGAAGUAACACUUUGAAUCUUUCCCACGCCUCAUAUAGGUAUUUAUCAUCCAUUUGUUGAAAAGUAGUGAUCUCACUCCGCAACAU
rfam:Gossypium hirsutum cultivar TM-1 chromosome 25, whole genome shotgun sequence